CAGUGGCUGGCUGCACGAGAGGCGUUAAUGUGUAUGUAGUUUGUUCGUAUUCGAAAAAAAAAGUAAACAAAUAAACAAAUAAAUUUAACAAAUUAAGUAAAUUUAAUAAUUAAGUAAUGCAAGUAUCAUUGUUAGUAGAUAUUCUCCGUCAACUGCAAGAGACGAGAGGGAGGCAAGCUGAAAUUUCAAAAUGUGUUAUGUGAGUGAUAAUGACGUGGCAGUGUUACCCUCGUGUGUCGUGUGGCCAUUUGAAAAUCAUCGAUAUCAGCGUUAUUAUCAGUUUACGACUGAGAUGUAAGAGAGAGGAAAUACUUAAAAACCGAGGGAUAGACAGUGAUACACGUUAAAAGUGUGUGGAUGUACAGUACCAAAAUAAUACCUUAGUGUGUUGUGUAAUGUAUUGAGGCUUGGCAAGGCAAGAACAGCAUAGCCUCACCAUCCUGCAUUGAUGUGGUGAUGUGGUGAAGCUGGGGACAGGAGGAACAGAACAGGAUUGGCACCCUGUUAUGCUGAGGUCUGGCAGGACAAAAAUAACACAGCAGCACCAAAAUAAAUGUUGUGUUAUCUUUUCUAGGCAUGUUGCGAGUGGAGCAUCACAGUUACGUUACUUGCAGGUGAUGACUGCUGGGGCCUCGUCCACCCUGGCACGGGGAGCGUCCCUCACGCGUGCCGGGGCUACACACAAACUGCCUGCUCCUUCUCAAUAAGGUCGACGGCUUGAACUGUGCUGCUGAGGGGGAGUCACAGUCUUCGGAGCCUAUGUCCACAGCUGGAGAAUCUUGCGACGUCGUGUUUGAAGCGAAUCUGAAUCAUGUGGUUUAAACAAUGAAGGAAGACGUGGACAUGUCGACGCCCACAUGCCGCUGUUCCCCAUCUCCCUCUCAAAAAGUAGAUGAAUAAAUAGAUGCAAUAAAUACUGGAUCCAUUUCAAGAGUCUCAAUAUCAUAGAACUGUAUUCUCACACUUUACCACGUCUUAUCUCGACAUUUCUAACUGGUUUCAGUGGAAGUUAUUAGGCAUUUCAGUUAUAAUUAAAAGAAGAUUUGUGCACCUUAAUGAGGAAAGAUAUAUCGCGGGGGCUCGACUGAUCAUCUCUGUGGCCUUUGAAAACAGUCCUUGACAAAACAUGAAGUAUUUAAAAGUACAAGACACAGACCCGCCAUGAGGACCACGCCGAGUCAUAAGUGAGCAAAAGAAAACGUGUGUGAGGAAAGGCAAGGGAAGCCUCGGAGUCCUAAAGCUGAAGUCAUAAAGCUGAAAUGACCCAAAUAACAUAAUCCAGCAUUUCAAGACUCCCUUAGCAUCACACACACACACACACACACACACACACACACACACACACACACACACACACACACACACACACACACACACACACACACACACACACACACACACACACACACACACAC